rnacentral:rRNA from 1 species
UACGUAGGUGGCAAGCGUUGUCCGGAUUUACUGGGUGUAAAGGGCGUGCAGCCGGGCUGACAAGUCAGAUGUGAAAUCCCGCGGCUCAACCGCGGAACUGCAUUUGAAACUGUCAGUCUUGAGUACCGGAGAGGUCACCGGAAUUCCUUGUGUAGCGGUGAAAUGCGUAGAUAUAUGGAGGAACACCGGUGGCGAAAGCGGCUCUCUGGCCUGUAACUGACACUGAGGCUCGAAAGCGUGGGGAGCAAACAGG